rnacentral:rRNA from 1 species
UACGUAGGGUGCAAGCGUUAAUCGGAAUUACUGGGCGUAAAGCGCGCGCAGGCGGCGGUGUAAGCAUGGCGUGAAAGCCCCAGGCUCAACCUGGGAGGGUCGUCGUGGACUGCACCGCUUGAGGGCGGUAGGGGCUGGUGGAAUGCCUGGUGUAGUGGUGAAAUGCGUAGAGAUCAGGCGGAACACCCGCGGCGAAGGCGGCCAGCUGGGCCGUCCCUGACGCUGAGGCGCGAAGGCGUGGGGAGCGAACGGG